GGGGGAACCUGCGGAGGGAUCAUUACCGAGUUUACAACUCCCAAACCCCUGUGGACAUACCAAUUGUUGCCUCGGCGGAUCAGCCCGCUCCCGGUAAAACGGGACGGCCCGCCAGAGGACCCCUAAACUCUGUUUCUAUAUGUAACUUCUGAGUAAAACCAUAAAUAAAUCAAAACUUUCAACAACGGAUCUCUUGGUUCUGGCAUCGAUGAAGAACGCAGCAAAAUGCGAUAAGUAAUGUGAAUUGCAGAAUUCAGUGAAUCAUCGAAUCUUUGAACGCACAUUGCGCCCGCCAGUAUUCUGGCGGGCAUGCCUGUUCGAGCGUCAUUUCAACCCUCAAGCCCCCGGGUUUGGUGUUGGGGAUCGGCGAGCCUCACGGCAAGCCGGCCCCGAAAUACAGUGGCGGUCUCGCUGCAGCUUCCAUUGCGUAGUAGUAAAACCCUCGCAACUGGUACGCGGCGCGGCCAAGCCGUUAAACCCCCAACUUCUGAAUGUUGACCUCGGAUCAGGUAGGAAUACCCGCUGAACUUAAGCAUAUCAAAAG
rnacentral:rRNA from 1 species